CAGUAGCCGCGGUAACACGAAGGGUGCAAGCGUUACUCGGAAUUGCUGGGCGUAAAGCGUGCGUAGGUGGUGGUUUAAGUCCGUUGUGAAAGCCCUGGGCUCAACCUGGGAAUUGCAGUGGAUACUGGAUCACUAGAGUGUGGUAGAGGAUAGUGGAAUUUCCGGUGUAGCAGUGAAAUGCGUAGAGAUCGGAAGGAACAUCUGUGGCGAAGGCGACUAUCUGGGCCAACACUGACACUGAGGCACGAAAGCGUGGGGAGCAAACAGGAUUAGAUACCCCAGUAGUCCCUGUCUCUUAUAA
rnacentral:rRNA from 1 species